rnacentral:rRNA from 1 species
GUAACUGACGCUGAGGGACGAAAGCUAGGGGAGCGAAAGGGAUUAGAUACCCCUGUAGUCCUAGCUGUAAACGAUGGAUACUAGGUGUUGGACGUAUCGACCCGUUCAGUACCGCAGCCAACGCGAUAAGUAUCCCGCCUGGGGAGUACGCACGCAAGUGUGAAACUCAAAGGAAUUGACGGGGGCCCGCACAAGCGGUGGAGUAUGUGGUUUAAUUCGAUGCAACGCGAAGAACCUUACCAGGGCUUGACAUCCCCCGAAUCCUUGUGAAAGCGAGGAGUGCCUUCGGGAGCGGGGAGACAGGUGGUGCAUGGCUGCCGUCAGCUCGUGUCGUGAGAUGUUGGGUUAAGUCCCGCAACGAGCGCAACCCACGUCCUUAGUUGCCAUCAUUCAGUUGGGCACUCUGGGGAGACUGCCGGGGACAACUCGGAGGAAGGUGUGGAUGACGUCAAGUCAUCAUGCCCCUUACGUUCUGGGCUACACACGUACUACAAUGCCUCGGACAAAGGGCAGCCAACUAGCGAUAGUGAGCUAAUCCCAUAAACCGAGGCACAGUUCAGAUUGCAGGCUGCAACUCGCCUGCAUGAAGGAGGAAUCGCUAGUAAUCGCCGGUCAGCAUACGGCGGUGAAUACGUUCCCGGGCCUUGCACACACCGCCCGUC